GCCGGAGCAUAUUGCUCUGUAACCUUCGGGGGCUGAUCCCGCUUAGCGGGGACGUCUUGGACAAGCGGGGGUUCUGUUGCGUUGACUUGGUGUUCUGCUUGGUUGCGUGUCGGUGUUGAGGUCGCCACUGUAGAGAGGCGUUCUCGCGCCGUUAAAGUGGGGGGAACGGGUCAGGCCGGUGACGGAGCAGCCCACCUUGCGCACGUUCCCGUUGCAGAAGCACACCGAGGAGCAUCUCAGGAUUUUGCGCCCCAAGUGUCGUCGCGAGGCGGUUUGUU
rfam:Trypanosoma brucei brucei strain 927/4 GTTat10.1 chromosome 8, complete sequence.